rnacentral:rRNA from 1 species
GGCAGAGGGUGCAAACGUUGUUCGGAAUCACUGGGCGUAAAGCGCGUGUAGGCGGCUACGCAAGUCGGAUGUGAAAUCCCACGGCUCAACCAUGGAAGUGCAUUCGAAACUGCGUAGCUAGAGUUUUGGAGAGGAAGGCGGAAUACUCGGUGUAGAGGUGAAAUUCGUAGAUAUCGAGUGGAACACCGGUGGCGAAGGCGGCCUUCUGGACAAUGACUGACGCUGGAACGCGAAAGCGUGGGGAGCAAACAGG